AUUAUCGGGAUAUGGAGGUACGUGUGCUCCAUACCGUGGCUGAGCCUGUCGGAUCCGCAGAGUGGCUGCACGACACCUUAGGGACCCGAUGUGAAGUCGCAUAUGCUAUUCUACAGUGCUUGCCCUCUAAAAUCUGAAUUGUCGGUUGUACAUUUAGUGUUGAACUGCAGUAAUCUACUGCACUUGCAUCUGAAUUGUACAUUUAAUAAGUUAAUACUUGAGAGUUAAGAUAGAUCACUAAUCUGGCUGGGUCUCUAUCGUUGUGGCAAUUUGGCAAGCGUUUCUAGAGGUGAUAAAUCUGCAAGCAGAAAGUCAAUGUCCUUCUGCUAUGCCGCACAAUUACAGUGCUUUCACAUUAUGGAUAACUUUGUUUCCUAAAAGUAAAAUCUUUGUCAGUGCCAAAUCAGGGUGCAGGACAAGUCAGCCAUCCGUGCGAAGUCGGUGUCAGCAAGGGUGUGGGGCGUCCGGAGGAGCAUCCGGGUUGAAGGUUCUGGCCCUCACCAUCGAGACUACCAUGGUCGUCGCCAAGUACAUCUGGAAUGGUUCGGCUCCAGACGCCAUCCAUCAACUCCUGUUCUAAAGUGUGCUGGUGAAAUGCAAUCCGUUCUCUCUAUCUUUCCCGCUGAGAUGCAGAGGAGCUCGGUGUUUUAGGGUUUGGCUGUUGCUGCAGGAGAAGGUGGAGUUGCGACAGGAAGGAGGAAUGAAUUUCUAAUGGAUCUACUGUCUCCCUUGAGUUGGGGCGAACGUAGUGAAGCACCACGCUGUGUUUAUUGAUCUGGAAUCCAAGAGGAUCACCCGCCCUUGGUUGUUCCCUUCGUUUGUCAACUAGGUGACUUUUCAUGUGAUUUCUGCUUCCAAAAAUUAGAAAAUACCUUCAGAUCAAACCAGCAGAUUUGUAGAUUUCUGGGAAUUGCUGCUACUCCAUCUCCAUCUAGCCAAUGGUCUUUGGUUACUGAUUCUGAGUGAGCUCGAGAAAACACAACUACAAGCUUUCAGGUCCUAAAUGAGAAGGUAAGGAUGUACUUGAGCAGUAUGAGAAGACCCAGUUCCAUCAUCUCAGAAGCCAGAAGUUCCCCAUUUAAUAUCUUUCAUUCUGAAAUUUGUUUAAGAAGAUGGUCAUUCUUCUAUUAGCAGCACGAUUAUGUGUCAAUUGUAGAUUCUUAAUUGCUUAGAAUUAUUUUAUAUGUUUGAUUCCUUCGAUU